AAGGGAGCUUGCUCCCGGAUGUUAGCGGCGGACGGGUGAGUAACACGUGGGUAACCUGCCUGUAAGACUGGGAUAACUCCGGGAAACCGGAGCUAAUACCGGAUAGUUCCUUGAACCGCAUGGUUCAAGGAUGAAAGACGGUUUCGGCUGUCACUUACAGAUGGACCCGCGGCGCAUUAGCUAGUUGGUGAGGUAACGGCUCACCAAGGCGACGAUGCGUAGCCGACCUGAGAGGGUGAUCGGCCACACUGGGACUGAGACACGGCCCAGACUCCUACGGGAGGCAGCAGUAGGGAAUCUUCCGCAAUGGACGAAAGUCUGACGGAGCAACGCCGCGUGAGUGAUGAAGGUUUUCGGAUCGUAAAGCUCUGUUGUUAGGGAAGAACAAGUGCAAGAGUAACUGCUUGCACCUUGACGGUACCUAACCAGAAAGCCACGGCUAACUACGUGCCAGCAGCCGCGGUAAUACGUAGGUGGCAAGCGUUGUCCGGAAUUAUUGGGCGUAAAGGGCUCGCAGGCGGUUUCUUAAGUCUGAUGUGAAAGCCCCCGGCUCAACCGGGGAGGGUCAUUGGAAACUGGGAAACUUGAGUGCAGAAGAGGAGAGUGGAAUUCCACGUGUAGCGGUGAAAUGC
rnacentral:rRNA from 2 species